rnacentral:lncRNA from 1 species
CUCAUCAUACAAAAGACAUUUUAUUUUAAAAGGAUACAAAACUUUUCUAAAGAAAAUAAAAAGAGGCUGAUAUUAAAAACACAAGAAUAAUACAAUAGGUCAAAGUUCAACAAUAAAGGAGUUCUAAAAAGACCAAAAACAUAACAAAACAAAAGUUCAUGAUAAGAACAAAAAGAUAACCAUUCAAAAACAAGGAAAAACAAAAGCAUCCCCGCUUCAAGAAACAUCUCAAAUAGAAGAAUCGUGGACGAGCUUUGUGAUGGAACUCGUCGCAAACUCUAAGAAUUCGAUGUUAUUGAAUGAAAUCACAGAAAAGUUAACAAAUCUCUGUUUCCCUCUCUUUCAAGGAAUAACAGAAAGACUCAAAUCCCAAAAAAUACUCAAUCAUCCCUCCCGCCCUUAACAAACUUAUUUAUAUGACUAACCAACCUAUCACUAACCAACCUAUCACUCACACGUGUCUCCCCCCCUUAACAAACUUAUUUUCUCUCCUCCUGUACUGAUAUAAUAUUGGAGGUCUAACAUUACUCUCUUUCUCCAAAUUCACCUUGUCCUCAAGGUGAAAAUCUGGAAAACGCUGCUUCAAUUCCUCAUAUAACUCCUAAGUAGCCUCAUGUUGUGGAAGACCAUUCCACUACACUAACACAUCCCAGUCUCCCGCUUUAUUUUUCGAAUAACUAUAAACCUCCUCGGGAAUAUCUCUCCAUUCAUGAUUUUCUGUUAAACAGGGAACGUCAUGCUUAUCUUCCUUGUGCUCUCCCAACACUUUUUUAAGUUGUGAUACAUGAAAUACCGGGUGUAUGGUAGAAUUCUCUGGUAAUUCCAGCUUGUAAGCCACUUGACCAAUUUUAGCUAUCACCUUGUACGGUCCAAAGAACUUAGGAGAAAGUUUUUCAUUUCUUUUUCUUCUGACAGUCACUUGUCGGUAUGGCCUUGUCUUCAAUAAUACCAAAUCCCCAACCUGGUAAUGAACCUCUCUUCUCUUGGUAUCGGCAUAUUUCUUCAUUUUGUCCUGUGCAACUCUCAAGUGUUCACGUAUGGCCCCUAACACCACAUCUCUUUCUUUCAGCUGUUCAUCUAACAUAGAGUUAGUAGUAUAUCAAGGGAGGUGGUAAACGCCCGUAUAUAACCUGAAACGAUGUGACUCCAAGCGCACGCUGAUAUGUAGUGUUAUACCAAUAUUCUGCCCACGGUAUCCAUUUAACCCAUUCCUUAGGCUUUUCUCCACAAAAGCAACACAAGAAUGUCUCCACUCCACGGUUAACAACUUCUGUUUGACCAUCCGUUUGUGGAUGAUAUGUUGUACUGUGGUUCAACUUCGUUCCUGCCACGCGAAAUAAUUCCCUCCAGAAGUGACUUAAGAAUACCUUGUCUCUAUCUGAAACAAUGGAUUUGGGAUAUCCAUGAAGUCGCACGACCUCCUUCACAAAUAUUUCAGCUACCGUCUUUGCUGUAUAUGGAUGUUUCAUAGGGAUGAAAUGCCCAUAUUUACUGAACCGAUCAACCACUACAAAUAAUACUUCAUAUCCUGCUGCUUUAGGUAAUCCUUCCACAAAAUCCAUUGAAAUAUCCUCCCACACUCGAUUGGGUAUCUCUAACGGAGUUAACAAUCCAGCUGGUGAUAGCGCCAAAGUCUUAUUUCUUUGACAAAUCAUGCACUCUUCGCAAUACUUCUUCACUUCCUGCUUCAUUCCUUCCCAAUGUAACUCUGCAGCCAUCCUUUUAUAUGUCCUUAAGAACCCCGAGUGACCCCCAAAGACCGAAUCAUGAUAAGUGUGUAAGAUGGUGGGAAUUAAUUUAGAUGUUUUAGAUAACUCUAUUCGAUCUUUGUACAUCAGCAUUCCCUGUUUGAUUGAAUACUUUUCCUCCUCCAACUCUUCGGUCUCGCUCAAUUUCUGCAUAACAUUCUUCAGCUUCUCAUCUUGUGCCACUUCUGCCUUGAUGACUUCGAUAUCGAUCAGCUUAGGAGCUGUCAACUGAUUCAAAUGUAUAGUUGGUGGUACUCUGGACAGUGCAUCUGCGGCUUUAUUCUCUAACCCCGGUUUAUACACCACCUCAAAGGAGUAUCCCAGAAGUUUGGAUAUCCAUUUCUGAUAUUGAGGCUAUAUCACUCUCUGUUCUAGCAGGAACUUCAAAGAACGUUGAUCAGUCUUGACUAAAAAACUCUUCCCCAACAAAUAUGGACGCCACCUUUGCACAACCAUUACUACCGCCAUCAACUCUCUCUCAUAUACAGGUUUUACUCUAUCCCUUAUUGCCAAUGUAUGACUAUAAUACGCAAUUGGACGUUGGUUCUGGACUAAUAUAGCCCCCAACCCGAAUCCCGAAGCAUCAGUUUCUAUUUCAAAGGGCACGUUGAAAUCAGGCAGAGCUAACACCGGGAGUGUCAUCAUAGCUUGUUUCAGCCUAUUGAAUGCUUCUUGAACCUCCCCUGUCCAUUUAAAUCCUCCUAUCUUCAAUAACUGUGUCAACGGAGCUGCAAUUGUCCCAUAAUUCUGGACAAACUUGCGAUAAUACCCUGUCAGACCAAGAAACCCCCUUACUUCCCUUACGUUAACAGGAACGGGCCACUCCCUUAUAGCUCUGAUCUUUUCAGGAUCCACUUCAACUCCAUCCCCUGAAAUAAUAUGUCCUAAGUAGUCUACCCGAGACUGAGCAAAGUUACAUUUCUUCAUGUUUGCAUAGAGUUCAUUCCUCAUCAACACUUCCAAUAUUGCUCUCAAAUGACUCAAAUGAUCUUUCAACCCCCUGCUAUAGAUCAAAAUAUCAUCAAAGAAUACCAAGACGAACUUUCUUAGGUAGGGCUUGAAUAUAGUAUUCAUCAAUGAUUGAAAAGUGGAUGGUGCAUUAGUCAACCCGAACGACAUUACCAAAAACUCAUAAUGACCCUCAUGAGUUCUGAAUGCUGUUUUUUCAAUGUCAUCAGAGCUCAUCCUAAUUUGAUGAUACCCUGAUUUCAGAUCAAUCUUCGUAAAAACUGUGGCUCCAUUCAACUCAUCAAACAACUCCUCAAUCAUUGGGAUUGGAAACUUGUCUGGUACGGUUACAUUAUUCAGGGCCCUGUAACCUACACAAAAACGCCAGCCUCCAUCUUUCUUUCUCACCAAUAAUAUUGAACUGGAAUAAGGGCUUGUGCUCGGCCGUAUUAUUCCUGAUGCUAACAUUUCUUCCACUAGUCUCUCCAUUUCUGUCUUCUGUUGAUAUGCAUACCUAUAGGGUCGUACAUUCACUGGAUCAGUUCCCUCCUUUAGAUGAAUCUGGUGUUCUAUUACUCUUCGUAGUGGCAAGGUUUCGGGCCACUCAAAGACAUCUUCGAAGCUUUUUAACACUACUACCACUGACUCCUCUAAAGUCAAGACUUCAUCAAACGAAUCAUCCCCUUCUAAGGAUUCCCUUCUUUCUAAAGCUCUGCAUUCGACCAAAAACCAUUGGUCCUUGUCUCCCCAAGAUUUCAUAAGGGUUUUUAAGCUGACUAUUGCCUUUGUUAGACUGGGGUCUCCCCUUAUAACAACCUUCUCUCCGUGGGGAGUAAAAGUCAGAAUUAAGUUUUUCCAGUCUACUUCAGUUAUACCAAGAGAGUAUAACCAUUGCAUCCCCAAAAUUGCAUCCACGCCUCCUAGCUCCAGCAGCAAGAAAUCAUCAAUAACUCUUCAUUCGCCAAUCAUCAUUUCAAUGGCUUCACAAACUCCCUUCCCUUUUAUAGUCGUUCCAGAGCCUAAUAUGACUCCAUAAUUUGUAGUACUUUUCGUGCUUAUCUGCAGUUCUUCAACUAAGCUUUCAGAGAUGAAGUUAUGUGUAGCUCUGCAAUCUACUAAUACAAUGAUCUCCUUUCCUAGUAAUUUUCCCUUCACCUUCAUAGUUCCUGGAUUGGAUAAUCCCACUACUGAGUUUAUCGACAACUCCACCACAGUCUGCUCUUCUUGGAUAACUUCAGCCACAUUUAACUCUUUCUGUUCUGCCUCCUCUUCUUCAAUGAUUUCAUAUUCCUUAUUAUCCCCCAACACUACCAGCAUACGUAACUCUCUUUGUUCCUUCAUCUUACACUUGUGGUCAUGAGAAUAUUUCUCAUUGCAACGAAAACAGAGUCCUUUCUCUUUUCGUGAUUGAAAUUCGGCAUCAGAUAAUCUUUUCGUUGGGCCUGUUUUCUGUACCUCUUCGCCAGUUGUUCCUCUCAAUGUGACGGUUCUCAUAGGUCAGUUCCAAUUUCCCUUACUUUCUCCAGAAUUCCCAACUGUGCUGGUUUUGCUUCCGCUUCCAGAAUUACUCAGUUUCGUUCCCGAAUAACCAGGAAGGUUUGCUUCUCUUCUAAUAUCCUCUCUAUUUUCUACUUUAUGCGCGAUUCUCAUCAUUUGUGAUAAUCCUUGAGGUUCACAGAAAUUCAUCUCAGCCUGUAUCCAAGGCUUCAAUACUGACAUGAACGUCUCUUCCACCACUUUAUCGGCCAGAUCCGACAGAGGCGCUACUAAUUUAUCAAACAGAUUUCGGUAUUCUUCAACUGUAGUCGUCUGUUGUAUGCGCAAGAAUCGACGGUAUAAAGAUCCUUCCCUUGUUGAUCGAAAUCGGAUCAACACUCUUUCUUUUAAAUUUGCCCAAUCAGCGAAUUUAUCCCGCUCUUCUUGAGACCGAUACCAGUUCAGCGCAGGUCCUUCGAAACUAAUUGUUGCCACGGUCAUCUUUUCGAAAUCAGUUAGCUUAUGAAUUUGAAAAUACCGUUCGGCGCGAAACAACCACGAAUCUGGAUCAUCUCCAUUGAAGAUCGGCAUCUCCACCUUCUUGAAUUUGUUGCGACUGCCGUUAGCGUCUUCAUUCGUUUUUGUUUCUUCCUUCUUCGGUUCGUUUUCGCGAAUGGAAGAUCCCUCGCCGUCAUCGUUGUUCUUCAUCGAAGUACUCCAUAUCGAUAACUCGGUGAUCCUUUCGUUCAUCGUGGAUCUCUCCUAGGCGGCCGAUUCCAUGAAUCGUAUCAUCAUUUGGUUCUGUCUCUCCAUUCCUGUUGCUAAAUCGUUCAAUGCUUUCUCUAUCGCUGGUAAUUUCCCGAUCUCUUUUUUGAUUCCUUGAAUUUCUUGAUCAAACGUUUCCAUUUUUUCCUCCAUUCUGGUCUGCACCAUUUUUUUCUUUCUUGCCCUGAAUCGAUUGCUCUGAUACCAAUUUGAUGGAACUCGUCGCAAACUCUAAGAAUUCAAUGUUAUUGAAUGAAAUCACAGAAAAGUUAACAAAUCUCUGUUUCCCUCUCUCUCAAGGAAUAACAGAAAGACUCAAAUCCCAGAAAAUACUCAAUCAUCCCUCCCGCCCUUAACAAACUUAUUUAUAUGACUAACCAACCUAUCACUCACACGUGUCUCCCCCCCUUAACAAACUUAUUUCCUCUCCUCCUGUACUGAUAUAAUAUUGGAGGUCUAACACUUUGAUGAUCAUACAAUUAGCAAUAUCAAAAUUCAGAAUACUUGCAAGGUAGCAAGACUGUCUUGGAGACAAUAAAUUUCAAGCAUCCAAAAAGUGAUGAGAAAUUUAAAAUUAAUAAAAACACAUAGGGACUAUAUUCUUCAAAGUAACCUCAGAACAGAGUUUCGAUUGUCCAAAAUUCUAUAAUAUUCAGAUUUUUUUUAGUACAAUUUGAUGUAGGGUGCAAGGGACAAGGAUUCGAACAUCUGAUGAUAUAUCCCUUAAACAAUUGAUAUAUGCUUAAGAUGGCUAUGAUAUUUAGACGCUGUUUUAAUAAACUGAGAACGUCAAUUAAUGUAGGAAACUUAAAAAGGGCAAAUAAUGGUAGAAUACUACAACAUCAACAUGACCCCAUAAAAAGUUAAUUUCAUUUCAUUAACUUACUUAUUUUGAGCUGUCUGAAAAUUUGUUUCCUGCUCGUGCUCAUACACCAAUCCAGGAGCAAAUAUGGCAGCCAACACAUCAUCCCUUUUCAGAACUUCCAGUGCAACAUUUGUCUGAUGUGCAAGCAUAUUUUUGUUAAAAAAUUAAUUCUACCAACCCUCGGCUGUAUACAAUUGAACUCAAUAUACAACGAAACAAAGACUAGUAACAAUGCAUUCUUUUAUACAUGAAAGUUGAAAAGGUAUACACAUAGGGAACAUGGGCAAACAUAUAAUUGGUUUUACCUCAAUAACAGAAUUAUAUAUCCAGUUAAUAUCAUAUAUUCAACUAUAAAGGUGUCCAAAUGUAACUAUGAUGCUUGUUGACUAGUGGUAAAACAUGUCAAAACUGAAGGGUUAAUAGGCUUACAUUCCAUCCUCCACCGCCAAAGGUACCCCUCCCAAAAAUUUUAGUUUUCCUCUUUCAUUUUAGUUUUCCUCUUUUCAAGAAAGUUUAAAUUGUUAUUUGUGUUUUGAGUAAUGACCUUAAUUAGUUUAAAAGUUUGAGUUGUUACACAGGUAGUUUAGAAUGCAUAGUCUUAGUUAAAUGGCUAAUGAAUUCUAUCACAUGAGUAACUUGCUGACUACUUAAAGGGAUUUCCAUAUUCAACUACAAAGGAGAACAGGAGAAAAAAUAAGUUAUAAAGAAGUAUUUACACUUAAUAAGCUAUAUGAUUCAUAUGAAAACAUUUCGAAGAAGUCACAAAAAAUGCAGUCUGGGUAGGAAAACUUUAUUAAGCAAUACCAGUCAAUCAUCAAAUCCCAAUGCAAUAGAAGACUCAGGCUAAGCACUCUACAAAAAAUUCAAACGAUCACCUACCAGACCGGUAGUGAUUACAAGAUCGCCAACGAGACAGAUAAGCUCGAGUAAGCUGUCUCCAAAGUGAUACACUGCUUCCAAGCUGCGUCCGUCGGUGAAACCGUAAAGGCUGGUAGCUUCCAAGUUGACAACCAUUUUCACCUGCAAAACUUACAGCUUCCAAGUUGAGACAAUUUAUCUCACCUUCAAUAUUUGCUGCUAGGUUGCUGUCUCCCCUGAAGCAGAAAAGGUGUACAAAAGUAUGAUGGGAACAUUAAUCUGGGUGCAUUGAAACAGAGACCAAUCAACAACAUACAUAUGAGAAUUUGAAAGGGAGGAGGGGGGACAGUUUCUCAACAAACAAUUAUUCUUUGUUUGAUAUCCUCUCAAUGUCUAUAUAGUACUGGUUUAUUCUUGUGUGUGUGAUUGGUUUCAUCACAUUGUCCAUCAGUUUGUCAAUAAAAGGAAGCUUUGGUUUCGCUUAAAAAAAAAAUGAUAUUUGGUAUAUUGAUCACAAAAUUGUCACCAUUAACAGAAUUCACUAAAAUUAGAGAAAUGACAAUUUUCGGUUUGGCAUAUGAAAUGCCAAGCAUCCAAAUAUUAUUGGUAGAAAGGGCAAUCCACAAGUCCCAAAAAUUUAUUGUCCAAUACAUUAAAAAUUAAACCUCUUCAGAGCACCACUCUCGAGCAUUUUGAAACAUCCGCAACCAUGGGCUAGGACCUUCUUUGCUCACGUUCCACUGCUUCGGAUACCAGGGAAACUGCCACAUCAAGAAGCAACGUUCUGGAUGAGGCAUCAUGGCAAGGUGCCUACCAUCUGGAGAACAAAUUGCUGCAACUCCCAGAGGAGACCCAUUUACAUUGAAAGGGUAAACUUCAGUUGGAUUCCCAUCAUCAUCACAGUAUCUUAGUGGAGCUAAGUUAGAGUGGAGAAGACGAUCAAGAACGCCAUCAUCAGGGAAGUAUGCUCUCCCCUCACCAUGGGCAGCCCACACACCCAGACUACUGCCUUCCAUUCCCCUAAACAUUAUAGCUGGUGAAUCCUUAAUGGUUACACUUGUGAAACGACACUCAAAUCGUCCUGAUUCAUUAUGAAUGAACCUUGGUUGUGAUGGAUCCCCACCAGCACCAUGCACUCCACCAACUUGAGGGCCAGGCACCCACCCUAAAAGAGCCAUGAGCUGACACCCAUUGCAAACUCCAAGGCUGAAAGUGUCGGGUCGUUUAUAGAACUCUUGAAAUUGAUUCAACAAAGGUUGGUUAAAUCGAAUUGAAGCAGACCAACCUUUUGCAGAAUCAAGCACAUCUGCAUAACUAAAACCUCCAACAAAUACUAUUCCACGAAACUGCUGUAAAGUGAUAUUUCCAUUCAAGAGAUCAGACAUUGUCACAUCCCAUGGUUCAAAACCAGAAGCAUAAAAUGCAGCAGACAUUUCCCGGUCUCCAUUGCUCCCUUCCUCACGAAUUACAGCUACCUUGGGUUUAAAAGUUGAAGACAAAUAUUUCUCAUCUGUAAAGGAAGGAACAAAAGAUAAUUCCCACAAAGGUUCGUGCCUGGAUUUCAAUCCCUCCUUUUCUGAUUCAACACAAGAAGCCAAUCUUUGCAAUUUCUCCAGCUCAAAACUAGUUGCUUCCCAUACAUCCCUAAGCACAGAAGUUUCCUCAUUCAGGUGAGACACUUUAUCAACCAUGACUUCAAUGGUAGGAGUGGAAGUUACUUGUCCAAUGAUAUCAGCAGUAACACCUGCAGUAGUUAACUCUCUCAAUACCACGUCCAAAUUCUCCUUGCUAACCUCAAGUACAAGUCCUAGCUCUUCUGCAUAAAGUGUCUGGAACAAACUCUUCCCACGUGAUGUCAAGUCCAAGCUGAUGCCACAAUUUCCAGCAAAUGCCAUCUCCAAGGCAGAUACCAGCAAGCCACCAUCGCUAAUAUCAUGACCAGCAGAGAUUAACUCUUUGGCAAGGAGGUCUUGAAUGCUCUCAAAAACUUUUUUGAAGUAAGGAACAUCAUCAAGAUCAGGACAGACAUCCCCAAUUUGGUCAAAAGCAUGAGCAAGAGCUGAUCCACCUAAUCGACGCUCUCCCUUUCCCAAAUCAAUGUGAAGGAUAACACCAUUAUCCCCUAACUUUAAAUCAGGAGUAACAGUUUUUGUUAUAUCAGGACAAGUAACAUAAGCACUAAUUACAAGAUUUCCAGGAGCCUUCACCACCUCUCCACCAGCUUGGGCUGCCAUUGACAGGCUAUCUUUACCUCCAUCAAUAGCAAUGCCAAGUUCAAUCAUAGCCUCUGAAAGAGCCACAGCUGCAUCAUACAUAGCUGCCCCUUCUCCAUCAAGCUUAGCAGCAUACAUCCAAUUUCCACUUGCUUUAACAUCAGAAAGAUGAGUAAUUUUAGCCCAAACAAGAUUAGUGAGUGCUUCUCCAACCGCCAACCUAGCCAUUGCUUUGGGAUCAAGUAGACCUUUUAUGGGUUGUUCCCCUAUUGCACAUGCACCUCCAGUCAAGCCCGAAUAAGAUUGUGCAAUAACUGCAACAUCAGCGAGGGUAAUCUGUAGUGGACCUACAGUUUGUUGCUGAGCUACAAGACCAGUUACACAUCUAUCUACUUUUGUAGUCAAGAAUCGUUUUGAACAUACUGAUGGAAGUCUUAACACUCUAUUAAGAGAAUCUGCCACUGACACUCCAGGAGCAAUCUCAAGUAGCUCCAAAGCAUUAACAACUCGUUGGAAUUCAAAGGUUUUCUGAGGCAUGUCUCCGAGUACUUUCUCAAGCUCAAGGUCCACGGCAGGAGGUGGUGGAGGAAGUCCAUUUGAAAUGCAUUUUUUAGUGGCAAUACUAUCAACCAAAACACAACGACCAUGACCACUAAUUACGCCAAUUACAGCCAUUGAUAACCUCUCUCUAUCACAAAUUGACUGUAACAAGCUCCGACUUUCAGGCUUAACUAAAAUAGCAUCUUGUUCUUGGUAUUCGGCACCCCAAAUCUCCAGCACAGACAUUGUAUGGUCACCGACAACAAUUGCUCGAAUAUCAAUUUCAGCUCCUUUUGGAUAGAUAAUUUCCUUCACAACAUUACAAUUCCCACCAGCUCCUUGAUCAUGAAUACUAAUAAUUGGGUUAUUUUCCCCCAUUUCAACACAAGUGCGAACAACACGAUAAAGUUUUUGUGCCAUCUCAGCAUCUCCACGCUGCACAGCAUUAAAAUCAAGUUCCGCGUCAUUCUGACCACUAACCAUGCUUGAUGCAGCCCCACCUCCCAUACCAAUGCGAUAAGCAGGACCUCCAAUUUUCACAACCAACAUUCCAAUGUCAGGCUCUUCCUUUGAGAUGUGAAAAUGAUCAAUUUGUCCAAUUGCUCCACUGAACAUGAUUGGCUUCAACCACUCUCGUCUUUCACCAUUUGGCAGUCUCAUUCCAAAUGUUCUAGUAUAGCCUUGAAUCAAUGGCUCCCCAAAUUUGUUACCAUAGUCAGAUGCACCAUUACUUGCAUCAAUCAAGAUCUUCAAAGGCGAAGCCAAGUUUGGCGGGUAGGCAAAAGAUGAAUCUUCCCAUGGGGCAUAAGACCCCUCCAUGUUGAGAUUUCCUACACAAUAACCAGCUGUAGCUGCCACAACAAAAGACCCCUUCCCAGUCGCAUGAGUAUCCCUUAUUCGUCCUCCUACACCAGUUUCUGCCCCAGGAUAGGGAGCCACUGCACAUGGAAAAUUAUGUGUCUCGGCUGUAAAUAAAAUAUCAAGAUCACGACUACUUUCUUCUAAAGGGCUUGUUGAACCAGGAGACACAGGUCGCAACUGAUUAGCCAAGAAUCCCCGAAUUGCACUUGAAUUAUCCUUAAAUCCAAUCACUGAAUUGUUAGGAUUUGCCUUCAAGGUGCCCUUCACAAUUUGCAUAAGUGUUCGGCUCAUAGGCUUCCCAUCUAUAACAAGUUUUCCAGUAAAAAACCAAUGUCUGCUAUGUUCGCUAUUGGACUGAGCAAUAUCAAACAACUCCACUGUUGUUGGAUUUCGCUUUAUUUCCUCACUGAAAAGUUUGGUGUAGUAUUGAAGAUCCUGUUCAUCAAAUGCCAAUCCCAUCUCCUGAUUAAUCUCCUCUAGUGCCUUCCGGCCUCGCUCUAAAACAGGCACAAAACGAAACUCCUCAGGUAUCACACUAGUCUCAAACGACCUAAGCCUCUGAACAUAAACACAUUCAGUCAUCCGAUCAUGAACCAUUGCAGCAAACUCAUUAAUCUGUUGAUCUUCUAAUGCACCUUUACUAUACAACAAAUAUCUCCUGGAACGUUCCAUUCGUGUCACCUCUGUUAAUCCACACGCUUGGCAGAUAGAUACAGCAUUAGAAGACCAGGCAGUGGUGAAAGACAAACGAGGUCCAACUUCAACUAUAAUAGAAUCCAGCCCUUUCCGCUGCUUCUUCUCAAGAAAGCUCUCAGUUCCAAAAUUCUCAGGCUCAUAAGUUUCCUGAAGAAGCCAUCUAAGCACAAAUAGCUUAUCAUUGGAAAUCUCAGAUUGAAUCCCAACGUUAAAACACUGCUCAGUUUGCAAACCAAUAAUCUGAUUUGAAAUCUUGGAUUGGACAGACUUGAGAAGCUCAGAAGUGGCACUCUCCUGAAUUAAAGGAACCCGAAAGAAAUGAACAACCUCUGCUGUGGGCUUCUCGACCAAGCUUGAGGCCUCAUCUACUGGACUUGCAACUACCUUACAUUCCACAGCUCUAGAUUUGCUGGAUGCACGACAUCUCAAAGGAACAUAUCUUCUGCUUGAAUUAACUGAUCCCACAGCUGAAGUACGCAGUGUCCCCCACAACCCACGUCGUUUACAAUGAGAAUAGCUCUGCAGAAACAAACUCUGCCUACGCCCACCCUGUCAAAAGCAUAGAAUUGAAGAGCUCAUCAGCAAAGUGAAUACGAGACAAACAACCAUUAUCUACCUUCCUUAAACUAAAAUUAAAUUCUCAAACACCCCAGAAAGCCAAAACAACAAUCAAAUAAAACAAAAACAUACUUGCAGGAAGUCGGCAGCAGUUAUAUCUCCAGCAGUAGCCAUUUAGCUAACCUCCAAAACGAACUCCGCCUGUAAACAACUAACGAUCAACAAUCUUUCGUUUUCAAACAACAGAAAUGGAUACUAGUGAUCAACAACUUUUCGUUUUCAAACACCAGAAAUGGAUACACCCUUUACACGAAUAUGGGAAAGAAGACAGACUCAAUCAAAUCGCUACAAACAAAAAAAAAAAAAAAAUGAAAUGAAAAGGUCAAAACAGUUGAGGUAUAACUACUAACCCCGGAAGCGUCGACGAGUUGGAUGUUAUUGAGAAAAGAAUCGACGGCGCCGGCGAGGGUUCUUAAAGGAUUUUUGGUUCGACGGCGAGGGAAUAACUGAAGAAAAGGCAAGGGGUUGUCUAAGCACGGCGACAGAAGAAGUGAAGAAAGGGGCGAGGGGUUCUCUAAGCACUAAAUCGUGGUGGGUUUAACAAUCAUCUCUCUCUACUUGGAAUUAAUGGUUUUUUACCUUUCUUUAUUUUAUUGUUUUUUUUUAUAAGCUUUCCUUAAUUUAUUUGGUAUUUAUCAUAUUUUUUAAAAUAAUCAGAAAAAUUACUUUUUUUGGUUUUUUCCGAUCAAUUUUUCUCCAAGGUUUAGUUUCAAGAAAAUUGAAGAAAUUAUAUUAAAUUAAUUACUAUGGAACAAAAAAUAUUAAAUGAACGUAUUUAAAAUUGGAGAAUUAUAUUGGACGGCAAAAAUAUUUAUAUAAUUUGUAAGUAUAUGUUCAAGGUUUCCUAAAUUGCAUACAUACCAAAUUACCAAAACUAAUCUUUUUAUUUAUUUUUAAUUGCUAUUGUACUCUUAUAAAAUUCCUAUUGUACCCUUUAUUACAAGACUCCCUAUUUUUCGUUUGGUAGAGUACUCCUCUCGGAAGUGGAUAUCGUUGGUCAUUUGUCGCCGGUUACUUUCUUUGUUCACCUAUCUCUCGAUUGUGUAGAUUUGUCGAAUCUCUAGCUAUACUUAUACUAAUUAGAAAGAUUCUUUAAUAACGAGGAGGAGUUGAUAGGCCAAGCUUCCAUUUAGGUGAAUUAAACCACAAUUGUAGAAGUUUAUACUUUUGAGAAGUGGUUUGAAAAAGGAAAAUUCAAAAGGGAUGUGAAAUUGAAUCAAAAUUGUUGGAUUCUUAUUUGUUUUCAAAGGCACGUGCACUUAAACUUUUUUAUUUUUUUUUAUCAAAUGUUUAAUUAUUUUGUAAAAUGAAUAUGAGAGAAUGAGACGAGUGAUUCAUUUUCGUCAAAAUAAAAAAUAAUGUUGUGCUUUCAGUUUGAUUGUUGUGUGAUUGAUAUAUGUUUUCUAUAUGAUUGUAUGAGAUUAAGUACGUUAUGAAUUCUUUUCAAUUUCUAUGGAUUUUUUAGGUUAUUUUAUUACAUAUUAGGUACUAAACUUACGGUUUAGGGUUUACUUGGUGAUUUCUAUUUUAUUGUACUUUGUGAUUUCUAUUUUAUUGUCUUUUGAAGGGUACCUUCUUCUAUGAUUUUUAUUAAAAAACUAUAAGUUAUAUGAAAAAAUAGAAGGUAAUUAUAUGAAAAUUAGAAGUCAAUCAAACAACCAUUAAAUAACAAAAAGAUAUACACUAACAAUUAAACAAUCAAUAUCAAAUAGCAUAGAUAACAAAAAGAUAUACACUAACAAUUAAACAAUCAAUAUCAAAUAGCAAUUAAGUGUGUCAAACAAUAGAAGUUGCAAUAAGAAAACAAUUGUUAUAUAAAAAUGGCAAUCAAACAAUAUAAAAAAGAGAAAAAGUUCUAGUAAGGAAAUUCAUUAUUUUAUAUGGCAAGGAAUACGAAAAAAAAAUGAAAAAAAAGUACAAUAAGUUUACUCUCUCUAGUGAAAACAUCGCUUGACUCUCAUAGUAUCACAUUUUAAAUGUUGUGUACUAACUUCUCAAAUGUUCAAAUGUUAUUGUAAACAACAUUUUCACAAUAACUCUAUCAAGUUAUCUUUUUUUAAAAAAUAAUUCACCAUUCAAGAAUGUGUAAAAGUUUGUAUGAGAUGUUUAUUAGGCAUCGAAUUCAUGGUUGCAAAUGAACAUAUAAAUUAUUAAUAUUUAAAUAAAAUAAUUUAUUAUUUUAUAUUAUAUCUUAAUGGUGUAUAACUCAAUUCGAUAAACAAAAAUCUAAAGGUUAUUUCAAUUGGUGUGUAUAGCUGGACUUCCCAUAAUAACCUAAAAGAAAUUAUAGUAUAUGAAUACGAUUGGAUACCUUAUCUUUUGAUAAAACUAUGAAUAUGACACACUAUGUAAUUGUUACGAAUGAUGUAAACCAAAUAGGUUAUGUGGGUGAGUUUUUAUAAAAAGAAAGGUUUGAAUUUGAGUUAUUUUUAAUAUAAUGUUUUUCAUAUUCUUUAAAAGGGAUAUUUCAAAUAUAACAAAAAAAAAAAAAAAUCUAUCAUCUAUGGUUUUUUUUUUUUUUUGCUAUAUACCAAACUUCCUCUUUUCUUUUUUUUAUAAUUGUGAAUUAGGGAAGUAAUUUAUUUGUUAAAUUCAAUUGUAUUUUUUAAUUGUAUUGAAUAUGCUUUUUUUUAUUAUAAAUUAGUAAAAUUGAGUCAAUUUAACUAAACUUGGAAAACAUUUUAUUUUAUUUUUAAUUGAGAUGUCUCAUGUUUUAUUUAUUAUUUUGAGUUUAUAUAUUGGUUUAAAUAUCAUCUUGGUCAUUGUAUGUUUAGCUUUUGUUUAUUUUGGUUCGAGUACUUUCAAAAUAUUCUUUUUUGAUCUAUAUACUUUAAACUUCGAUUCAUUCUAAAAGUAAGGAGAUCAAAAUAAACAAUUUGAAGUGUUUGAAAUCUUGGAGCGCACACACGGUGUAAUGAGUUUACAAUGUAUAAAAUUGAUUUUUUUUAAUGGUGGAACCCACAAACUCUUUGAGUCAAACAAAAAAAUGGAGUUCAUAAUUUCAUACUUCCUUACUCCUACUUUCAAAAUCCUCGAAUCAAACAAAUUCGAUAAAGUACAAUGAUAUAAACGAACUAAAAUAAAAAAUAUAAUCACCAAAGUUGUAUUUAAACUUUAUUUAUUUUAGAUUAGUUGGAUUAGUUGAUUUCACAAUGAUUAACUAUAAUGGUUUUUGUAAAACUACAAUUAUGUGCAAACUUCUAUAAUUUAUGAAUGAUUUAUUUAUUUAAUGUUACAAUUUAUCAUUUCAUUUAAAUGUAAGGUUAUGGAAAAUAGUGUGCAUGAGGGGAAAAAGAAACAUAAACUUUAGUUGUAUUUUAAAACAUUAUUUUGAUCAAUAGAAGAGAGGAGAUAGGACGAGUGGAAUCAAUCAUGUACGGUAAAGACUACCACAAAUUACUCUGGUAAAUUCUAACAAUGCUACAGCACUUGGAUACCAACAAAUAAAUUUAGUCGGAAAAAGAACCGAACGAGAAGAAAUAAAGAUAAAAGAAAAAUCAAUAGCACUUUAUUGAAGACCCUCUAAACUUUUAAAAAGUGCCAAUAAGAAAUGUAUUGGCAUUUGUAAUCUUAAAAUUAUAGUUUCGAAUUUCUCAUCCAAAUUUGUACUUAAAAAAACCACUAUAAAAAUGAGAAAACAACCCUAUCACCUCUGAUGUUUUUUUUAAAAACCCACUUUUACUGUUGUUUUUUUUCUAAUAGUACCAUUCAAUCCAAUUUGUCCAAAAAAAACUAAAAAUCAGAACAAUUUUAAAACUGCUCUGAAGUUUAUGUCAAGUAUUUCAAAGAAUGAGAACUUGCAAAAUGGGAAUGUUAAAGUUCUUUGUUGCCAUUGUUUGCCUUCCAAAAAUACAUUAUUCUUUUUCUCCUAAAUGGAAGAAAUUCAAUACUAUUAAUAGAUGAAAGAAAUAUAAUACUAUUGAUAGAUGAAAGAAAUACAAUAUAAAUGGAUACAAACCUCACUCAAAAGUGAAGAAUAGAACAUACAGCCAAACACAAAUCCAAAGGAGAAAACAAGCUCCAAAACAAACAAAGACCCAACAAAGAAACAAGGAACCACAAGCAAACCAAUGAACCACCCAAAGACCAAAAAGAACCAAGAGCUAUAAAACAAUGACAAGAUCCUUCUAUGGAGAAUUGUUUAGUCAUGCUGCACGACCCAUGAACUUCUUAGUCAAACACUUCCCCCAACUUACCAUGAGACGUUCAAAUCGAUAAACGGAGAGUCCUCCAAUUUCUGGAUACUCCCAUCCACCCCACAAACUUGGAUUAUAAAUUUGAAACCUGAGAUGCUGGAAGGAAUUGCAAGGUUAGAGGCAUAAAACGCUUUUACAUGUGCCACCCCAAUAUACUUUGGAACAUUUUGCAACUUGGCAAGGGGAUUUUCGUCUUCCUUGGCUAUUUCCAUGACAUACAUAUUGUAGCGUUCAAAUGCUACCCAACCACUACUGUUAUCUUUCAACUCCCAAGUGAUAUGAACAUCGAGGGUCCUUGUUCCAUCUGGACUUGUAGUCCUUCUGACAUGUGGAGUUUGGACUAGCCAUGAACUAGAAGGAGGAAAUUUUGGUUCCUCAACAGAUCGAACAAUUAUAUUGCCAAGCACUGCAAAGUAUUCAGUUGAUGAACCAGAAACUAGUGGAUUAUUUUUUGUAACUAUUCCAGGUUUGUGUUUUGGCACACCAGUUUGAGGUCUUGAUCUGUAGCAGAUGACAUUUAUAUUUGUCAGUUUGUAUCCACUCAUUUCAAUUCUUCUGACAUGAACAAACCAUUCAGGAGAACCUCCAGGCACUGCAAGUGGAGAUGUCUCAAUCACUUCAGUGAAAUCAGUCGAGAAUUGCUCUUCAAUGUUGGAGACAAGUAAAACCUCUCUCUUAUCUGUACUAGAAAAGAACUCCAAUGAAAGGGCAAGUUGAGAAUCUUCAUUUGACGUUGACUGCAAAAAUUAAGUUGUGGACCAAGGUUGAACUAAUUGUAUAAAGAGUCCUGUUAUUUCCAGUCUAGAACUUUGAUGCACAAAGAGUUCACUUACAGAAUACAUCAGAAAUAAAGGAACAUCCCCUAAAGUGACCUCUCCUUGAAAAAGUCUUAUUUUAGAGUACCGAUUUUGCUCGAGAGUCCCUUUGAAUUCGAUGCUUCCUCCUCCAUUGAAGGCUAUCUCAAAACUAGUGAAUCCAUGCAUUCAGAUGAUGGGAAAUAAAUUUAGGGGUUCAAGAAAUGAAUUGUAGAGCCAACAAAUGUUACUAUUGCUAUUAAUUCUCCACAUUCACAAGAGAAUAGAUACAAGCAUUUCUACUUACUUUGAAUAAGCUUGGACAGAAAGUGAAGUUGAAGCAUCAAUUACAUCAAGUAUGGGCUACAAGAAGUUGCAAAUGUUGAGUAAGAAGAAUUCCGAAAUGGUAACUAACAGGUCUCUUUAUUGCCUUCAGGGGCAUGAGCCAGUAAUAAAAUUAUUUAAUGUACACAGAAUAGGAUCGAAGAAUAGGAUCGGAGAGACGCACACCUUUCAAUAUCCUAAUUACUAGAGAUAUAUUCCUUACCUGAAAGCUUUGACGGGACAAGUUGUUCCAAGACGCAUCUGAUAUUUUUACUCCAUCUAUGAAAACAUGAUAACCAUGACCCUGGAAACGUGGAAAGAGAGAGACUUUGAUUGAGUAGUAAUAUUUGUCACCUAGCUAUUAAUAAGAGACUAACUUUAGGCAAGAGAUUAUUUGUAGCUUUCAAAUUAAUAACAUUUCGACAAGAUGCCAAUGAAGUUGAUAUAAGCAAUAAGACACUCAACAAUUUCUUUCACCAGGUAUCUUAGACCUCUGAAACAAUAUAAAAUCUACUUAAUACCAAAUUAGAAAGUAGGUGGAUUACUUGGAUGUCAACAACGCAACUAUGUGGUAUGCCAAACCAUUCCCGAUGCUCGUAUGUUAUUUAAAUAAAUAAAACAUAUAUUAGUUGUGUUUUGGAGAUACCAAAGAAAUUAUCCAUGAAGAAUCUGAGAUGUAUUUAUUAGGAUUUGUUCUUUUAAAUUAGAGUUUGAAAAUGAAAGCAUGAUAAUGGACUUAUAUCCACUACCAACGCAUUUAACCUUUAGACCAAUGUAAUUCCACUUCCACACACUAUACUAGAGAAAUUUAAAAAGUAUUAGACUCCUCAAGCAAUUGUUUAAGGAACACGUGAUUGGCGAGUUCUAACCUGAUCAAAAUUUGAGUGGAAUGGUAUAAGUUUUGGGUAACUUCGCACUAUUUCCCAUGACUGCUUCACAAGACCCCACCAUCUGUUAAGUCCAAAGUAAAUAAUUUUUUUCAGAUAGGAAUCCAAAGUACGUAAAAUUGAACCGCAUUAAAUUUAGGAAAGCUCAUCAUACAAAAGACAUUUUAUUUUAAAACCAAAACUUUUCUAAAGAAAAUAAAAAGAGGCUGAUAUUAAAAAUACAAGAAUAAUACAAUAGGUCAAAGUUCAACAUAAGAGAGUUCUAAAAAGACCAAAAAAAACAUAAUAAAACAAAAGUUCAAAAAGACAACCAUUCAAAAACAAGGAAAAAUAAAAGCAUCCCCGCUUCAAGGAACAUCUUAAAUGGAAGAAUCGUGGAGGAGCUUUGAUGAUCAUACAAUUAGCAAUAUCAAAAUUCAGAAUACUUGCAAGGUAGCAAGACUGUCUUGGAGACAAUAAAUUUCAAGCAUCCAAAAAAUGAUGAGAAAUCUAAAAUUAAUAAAAACACAUAGGGACUAUAUUCUUCAAAGUAACCUCAGAACAGAGUUUCGAAUGUCCAAAUUUCUAUGAUAUUCAGAUUUUUUUAGUACAAUUUGAUGUAGGGUGCAAGGGACGAGGAUUCGAACAUCUGAUGAUAUAUUCCUUAAACAAUUGAUAUAUGCUUAAGAUGGCUAUGAUAUUCAGACGCUGUUUUUAUAAACUGAGAACGUCAAUUAAGGUAGGAAACUUAAAAAGGGCAAAUAAUGGUAGAAUACUACAACAUCAACAUGACCCCAUAAAAAGUUAAUUU